rnacentral:rRNA from 1 species
AGCGAACGCUGGCGGCAGGCCUAACACAUGCAAGUCGAACGAACUCUUCGGAGUUAGUGGCGGACGGGUGAGUAACACGUGGGAACGUGCCUUUAGGUUCGGAAUAACUCAGGGAAACUUGUGCUAAUACCGAAUGUGCCCUUCGGGUGCAAGAUUUAUCGCCUUUAGAGCGGCCCGCGUCUGAUUAGCUAGUUGGUGAGGUAAUGGCUCACCAAGGCUACGAUCAGUAGCUGGUCUGAGAGGAUGACCAGCCACAUUGGGACUGGGACACGGCCCAAAGUCCUACGGGAGGCAGCAGUGGGGAAUCUUGCGCAAUGGGCGAAAGCCUGACGCAGCCAUGCCGCGUGGAUGAUGAAGGUCUUAGGAUUGUAAAAUCCUUUCACCGGUGAAGAUAAUGACUGUAGCCGGAGAAGAAGCCCCGGCUAACUUCGUGCCAGCCGCCGCCGUAAUAC